rnacentral:rRNA from 1 species
GACGAACGCUGGCGGCGUGCUUAACACAUGCAAGUCGAACGAAAAGAGGGAAAGAGCUUGCUCUUUCCGGAAUUGAGUGGCAAACGGGUGAGUAACACGUAAACAACCUGCCUUCAGGAUGGGGACAACAGACGGAAACGACUGCUAAUACCGAAUAAGUUCCAAGGGCCGCAUGGCCCAUGGAAGAAAAGGUGGCCUCUACCUGUAAGCUAUCGCCUGAAGAGGGGGUUGCGUCUGAUUAGCUGGUUGGAGGGGGAACGGCCCACCAAGGCGACGAUCAGUAGCCGGUCUGAGAGGAUGAACGGCCACACUGGAACUGGGACACGGUCCAGACUCCUACGGGAGGCAGCAGUGGGGAAUCUUCCGCAAUGGGCGAAAGCCUGACGGAGCAACGCCGCGUGAGUGAUGACGGCCUUCGGGUUGUAAAACUCUGUGAUCCGGGACGAAAAGGCAGAGUGCGAAGAACAAACUGCAUUGACGGUACCGGAAAAGCAAGCCACGGCUAACUACGUG